rnacentral:rRNA from 1 species
GACGAACGCUGGCGGCGUGCCUAAUACAUGCAAGUUGAGCGCUGAAGGUUGGUACUUGUCCCAACUGGAUGAGCAGCGAACGGGUGAGUAACGCGUGGGGAAUCUGCCUUUGAGCGGGGGACAACAUUUGGAAACGAAUGCUAAUACCGCAUAAAAACUUUAAACACAAGUUUUAAGUUUGAAAGAUGCAAUUGCAUCACUCAAAGAUGAUCCCGCGUUGUAUUAGCUAGUUGGUGAGGUAAAGGCUCACCAAGGCGAUGAUACAUAGCCGACCUGAGAGGGGGAGAGGCCAAGCUGGGACGGAGACACGGCCCAAAACCCUACGGGAGGCAGCAGUAGGGAAUCUUCGGCAAUGGACGAAAGUCUGACCGAGCAACGCCGGGUGAGUGAAGAAGGUUUUCGGAUCGUAAAACUCUGUUGGUAGAGAAGAACGUUGGGGAGAGUGGAAAGCUCAUCAAGUGACGGUAACUACCCAGAAAGGGACGGCUAACUACGUG